rnacentral:tRNA from 2 species
GCCGAAGUGGCGGAAUAGGCAGACGCGCACGACUCAAAAUCGUGUUCCGUAAGGAAUGAGGGUUCGAUUCCCUCCUUCGGCACCA